GACGAACGCUGGCGGCGUGCUUAACACAUGCAAGUCGAGCGGUAAGGCCCUUUCGGGGGUACACGAGCGGCGAACGGGUGAGUAACACGUGGGUGACCUGCCCUUAGCUCUGGGAUAAGCCUGGGAAACUGGGUCUAAUACCGGAUAUGACUCCAUGACGCAUGUUGUGGGGUGGAAAGCCUUGUGCGGCUAGGGAUGGGCCCGCGGCCUAUCAGCUUGUUGGUGGGGUGAUGGCCACCAAGGCGACGACGGUAGCCGGCCUGAGAGGGCGACCGGCCACACUGGGACUGAGACACGGCCCAGACUCCUACGGGAGGCAGCAGUGGGGAAUCUUGCGCAAUGGGCGAAAGCCUGACGCAGCGACGCCGCGUGGGGAUGACGGCCUCGGUGUAA
rnacentral:rRNA from 1 species